GAUGAACGCUGGCGGCGUGCCUAAUACAUGCAAGUCGAGCGAAUGGAUUAAGAGCUUGCUCUUAUGAAGUUAGCGGCGGACGGGUGAGUAACACGUGGGUAACCUGCCCAUAAGACUGGGAUAACUCCGGGAAACCGGGGCUAAUACCGGAUAAUAUUUUGAACUGCAUGGUUCAAAAUUGAAAGGCGGCUUCGGCUGUCACUUAUUGAUGGACCCGCGUCGCAUUAGCUAGUUGGUGAGGUAACGGCUCACCAAGGCAACGAUGCGUAGCCGCACUGAGAGGGUGCUAGGCCACGCUGGGACUGAGACACGGCCCAGACUCCUACGGGAGGAAGAAGUAUGAAAUCUACCGCAGUGGACGAAAGUCUGACGAGGCAACGCCGCGUGAGUGAUGAAGGCUUUCGGGUAGUAAAACUCUGUUGUUAGGGAAGAACAAGUGCUAGUUGAAUAAGCUGGCACCUUGACGGUACCUAAGCAGAAAGCCACGGCUAACUACGUGCCAGCCGCCGCGGUAA
rnacentral:rRNA from 1 species